CGCGUAGGCGGACAAGUAAGUCGGGCGUGAAAUCCCUAGGCUCAACCUAGGAACUGCACUCGAAACUGCCUGUCUUGAGUACCGGAGAGGAAAGCGGAAUACCUGGUGUAGAGGUGAAAUUCGUAGAUAUCAGGUGGAACACCAGUGGCGAAGGCGGCUUUCUGGACGGUAACUGACGCUGAGGCGCGAAAGCGUGGGAGCAAACA
rnacentral:rRNA from 1 species